CCUACGGGUGGCAGCAGUGGGGAAUAUUGCACAAUGGGGGGAACCCUGAUGCAGCGACGCCGCGUGAGUGAAGAAGUAUUUCGGUAUGUAAAGCUCUAUCAGCAGGGAAGAAAGAAAUGACGGUACCUGACUACGAAGCCCCGGCUAACUACGGGCCGGCAGCCGCGGUAAUACGUAGGGGGCACGCGUUAUCCGGUUUUACUGGGGGUAAAGGGAGCGUAGACGGCGAUGCAAGUCUGAAGUGAAAGGCGGGGGCGCAACCCCCGGACUGCUUUGGAAACUGUAGGGCAGGAGUGCAGGAGAGGGAGGUGGAAUUCCUAGUGUAGCGGUGAAAUGCGUAGAUAUUAGGAGGAACACCAGUGGCGAAGGCGGCUUACUGGACUGUAACUGACGUUGAGGCUCGAAAGCGUGGGGAGCAAACAGGAUUAGAUACCCUGGUAGUC
rnacentral:rRNA from 1 species